ACGAGUUAGGGUCCUCUAGGCCCGACCUCCCAACCCUUUGCUUACCGAACCUCUGUUGCUUCGGCGGGCCCGUCUCACGACCGCCGGAGGACCGCCGGAGGACCGCCGCAGGGCGUGUCCUCUAGCCCGUGUCCGCCGAUAGCCAACUACAAAACUCUGUAUAAAUCAUGUCUCAUGUCUAAGUCAAAUUGAAUUAAAAGCA
rnacentral:misc_RNA from 1 species